AUAACUGUGUGAUGCAGCAACGAUAAAUGGCACACUUACUGAAAGUAUAAGUAAGUAUUUAUUGUAGAAAUUACUCACAAGAGACAAGCAAGUAACCCAGAUGAGCCAAGUAGUUUUCCACUGCCAAACUGGGAGCCGGAAAGCCAGAAAAGAGAGUGAGACUUCUGCUGUUCAGUCUUUUACACCUUCCUCCAUAAUACCCCUAGCCAUGCCCAAAAGUGGGCCUGGCUGGUGAGGUAGUUCACCGCCUACGUCCAUAUAUGUCUUUAGUCAUGCCUAAAAUGGGGGUGGUUAGCAGAGUGGUAAACCGCCCUCUUAUUAUCUCAUCUGUAUGUGCCUCUAAAAAGUCACAUGGUUACUGGCGGAGCACUGUUUCCUCCUAUACCCAUGCUAUCAACAUUCAUAUGUAUCUCUUUGAUGCUCUUCAGCCUGGAGUUCUGUUUCCUACCAUGGUCAUUCAAAACUACCAAAUUAUUGUCAUUGAUUUACAGGAUUGCAGUACUAUUUCUUUAUAUUUGGGUGAUAAAGGUAUGCUUUUUUCAGUACUUAGUCCUCAGUAAUCAAGCACUGAUACCUCCUUCAAUGGAAAAUACUUUCUCCACAUGAUGAUGAACAGCUCCACCCUGUGCAAAUGCUGAGCAAUACAUCCUAUUAGACAAAAAUUUCCUCAACCAAGGCACCAAAAUGCAUUUGCUUUAAUGUAUUAAUAACCUCAGAGAAGUCAAAACCUGUCAACAUCAUAUUAAGGAUAAUAAAUUUAAAUGCUUUCUCCUGGGGAGAUUUAAACAAGGGUGAGCCCCAAUUUGAAUUCUUUACUUCUCUCCCCAUUGUGCCUGUUGAUCUGUUGCAUGGGUCUGGGCUGUAUACCUUUGAACACAGACUUUGAAAAAUGUUUUCCUCUGACCCUGUGUGUGUUCUUUGUGUGGACCUGUGUCUGUCCCUAAGAAAUUGCUUCUCUCUCCCUUUUCUUGAACAACACAGAAAGCAUCAUAUGGGGGAAGAAAUUAGGAAUACUUCAAAGAAAUAUUUAACAGAGCUUUACAAAGGAAUAAGUCACUGACUCCAACUGACCCCAACUGAUCUAGAUAAGAAAAAAUAUUACAAGCGCCAUUGCUUGUCAACCACUGUCUUAUGCUGUAUCCAACAUUUACAGUGGAUAGUCAUUUUAUAAGACAGCUAUUGUCCUAUUUACUGUUGUCAGAAUGUGAUUAUCAUAACACAUAUCCAAACACACAUUCAUUACACUCUAUGGCAGGAGCACGGAAAAGAGCAUACCUUACACUAACAGCUGUGCAUUUAGAUCAGAUUAUACUGGAGGAUUACUUGGGACACUCAAAGCAAGAAAGGAUGGUUGUUGAAUUGAUCUCUUAAAAGCAUGUUAAACAACAAAAUAUGAGUAUAGUAGGCUAUCAGUAUUAAGUCCGAAGUGACCUCAAAGUACAUUAUUAACCCUAGUUGUGAGAAUAAACAAAAUUUUCAGUCUUUUAGAAUGUAAAAGAUAUUUUCAUUAAAAAUGUAUCACCCCUGGAGUGGACUUGGGUUAAGAGCUUGGCUGUUUUUCUCAGUGUGUUACUGCCCUGAAGCAGAAUUGUCUUAUUGAUGCCGAAAAUAUUUCCCUGAUUCUGCUUGGGUCCCAGCAGAACAGGAUGCAGAAUUGGAAGUCCAUUGGAGAAUCAAGGUAUAGGCAGCUUGGACUAGUGUAGACUCCCAAAGGUCAAGUCCUGGGAGAUACAGGAAGCCUAUACACCUAUGUCAUGUGACUGCAAUAUCCAGAAGGGAAAACCAGUUGCUCGUUGCCCAGGAGAAUGCAUCUGACAUUAAGGGAUCUGGUGAAAUUUCUUGGGACCCCCUUCCUGGCCUCCUCACAUACAAUAGUAAUGUGAAACAGUGAACAGUCACUUUAUCUCCUUUCUGGGCUACCCAGGCCCACUCUCAGCUAAUUUGAAAGAGUCAAGCCUUGCACUGGAAAUCCUGGAACCUGUCUGUGGUGUUUGGGAUACAGAGAGCUACAACAUAAAAAAGAUCUUUUAUCUUUCAUUCUUUGCUCCCCUCUCCUUCCUCCCCACCUCUGACUCUCCAUCCUUGCAUGUAUGCCUAGUUCCAAACACAAGUAUAUGGGUGUCUACAGAGAACUCAAUACUGAGAAGGAAUUGGGAACUUUGGAGAAAGGUAAGAGAAGUUUCCUGGGUCACUGGUAGGGAUGGAGGGCUGUGGAGAGGAGAGAGUUUGUGACAGAGCCAGAGGUAGUUCACAAGGGUUGCCUGGCGAUUCCUACGUGAUGUUUCGGGUGGGGGACGGGUCCCAGGACCUGGUAGGCAACAGGGCAUGUGGGACAGAAUGUUACUUCUUUUGAUGUGUCCUUGUCCCUACAACAGGGUCCUUAGCUGCCUUGCCUUUUCAGCAGAGGCUGUGGAUGAAUGCUGCCCCCUUGUGGCACCCAGUGUGAAGGGUGUGUUCCAGUGCCCAAAUGAACCCAGAUGGCUGGGUACCUGAAAGCCCUGCCCUGUGUCCAUGAGGCUUCCACUGAGGGACUACAGACCUUGGGCUACAAAGUGUCAGCUAAGAAAGCCUGGCUUUAUACAUCAGAGGCUACCAACUUGGAUGCCAGCUGAGGAGAGGCAAAAGGAACCUCAGAGCAGGAUCGCUGCCAUCUUUCAGAUGCCAACUCCAAAGACUAAGGGACAGGUUCAAGAGUUCCUAGGUGCAGCUAGGUAUUGCUGCUUCUGGAUACCAGGAUUUGUGGAAAUAGCAAGGUCUGUAUACACCAGCACAACGGGAGGUACUGAGCCACUAAUUUGGACUGAGACUAAACAAAAGGCAUUUGAGGCUUUAAAAACAACCCUGACUUCAGCUCCAGCCCUAGUACUUCCAGAUGUCUCAAAGCCUUUUCAUCUAACAUUCAUGAAACAAAAAACAUUUAAUCCAAACCUUGGAGCCAUGGAGCCAUGGAAAUGCCCUGUGAUAUACCUGUCAAAAUAAUUGGACCCUGUAGUCACAGGAUGGCCCACCUAAGAGCUGUAUAGGCUACUGCCAGUCUAAUGAAAACAAACACGUUAACUCUGAUUAAGAUCUUAUGUACUAGCACCCCACAAUGUGUUUGAGGCCCUCCUUCCAGGAACACCAGAAGGCUUACUGUCAAAGGACUAUAUUGGCCAGUACCAGGGCCUAGUCCUGGUCCACCCUAGAGUCCAGCAUAAGAAACCCACCACCAUCAAUCCUGCUGCAUUCUUGUGUAAUGAUGACCCAUAGGUGUUCAUCUAUAAAUGUCAAAAGAUGAAAGAUGAAACCAGGUAUGUGGGAGCUGCACUACUUACUGCACCUCAGCCAGGGGAGCAGGACUGAUUGAUCUGACACAGGCUCUCAGAUGAGAAAGCAAAAUCAUUCACAAGGAUAGUUGGUACGCUUUUACUACUGUGCAUGUCCAUGGUGUGAUCUAUAGAGAAAGACGGAUUCUCACCAAUGAGAGUAAGGGCAUUAAAAACAAAGGGGUGGGGUGGGGGAGGUGGGGACAGGAGAAGUAGAUGGAGGAGAACUAAGCCCAGUAUGUAAAAUGAAAAUAAAUUAAAAAUGAGAAAAUCUUGGCUCUCUUAGAGGCUAUUUGGCUUCCUCUAUGAAUUGUCCUCCUCUGUAGACCAGUAGAGCAUAUUGAUAUUCUGAUUACGUACCACAACCUGCCUGAGACUCCAUGGUAAAGAAGAAAUGAACAUUUCAAACCCAAAGGUUGAUGGAGGACACCAGACGGAAAGAUUAUUCUUCCAGAAAUAACUGUUAGGACUCUGGUAACUGACCUUCACCAAGUUACUCAUCUGGGGUCCACAAAACUUUCUGAGUUGCUCAGACCAAAGUAUGUUAUACCUAGACUAGACAUCUUAGUGUGGGAUGUCUCAGCCAGAUGCCAGGUUUGUGCUCAAGUGAAUACAAUACAGUGGGCCCUUACCCAGCAAGGGGGCCUAGUAAGAGAUCUACAUCCCAGUGAAGUGUAGGAAAACUGACUUCACCAAGAUCCUGCCUGCCAGGGGUGGAUAAAUGUGCUUACUGUUUUUAUAGAUACAUUUUCUGGGUGGGUAAAUGCAUUUACCUGGGAGGAAACUCCUCAAAUAGUAGUUUAAAAGCUCCUUCAGGAACUGGUCACCUGAUGUGGCCUUCCCUAGCAAGGGGAUUUGACAAUGGUUCCAUUUUCAUAGCCAAACCUCUCAAUUAACAGCUAAAGCUUUAGGCAUAGAUUGAAAAAUUCAUUGUGCAUAUAGACCUCAGAGUUAUGGGCAGAUAAAACUAAUAAACAAAACAUUAAAAGAAACUCUAAUAAAGCUCUCAUUAUAUUCCAGCAAAGGAUGAAUAGAUUUCCUUCCUUUGCUUUGCUUCAGGACCCACUGUACCCCAUAGAUAGGGAUUUGCUCCCUACAAGAUUACAUUUGAAUGACCUCCCCCACUGUUUCCCUAGCCCCGAAGCCACCUCCCUUCUCAAGUCACUACAGGCUCUCCAGUCUUCCAUAAUAUGUAUUUAUCAAAUUAUCUAAGAAAUCCAGGCAACAUCCAAGUCUACCACCAGUUUCCAAGUUUCCACUUGUUCAAGUCCAGUGAUAUUAUCUGGGUCAAACAGACAGCCAAAGGGAUACUGGAACCAACUUAGGAGGGACCCUACAUGGUUAUUCUUUCCACUCCUAUGCCUAUGAAGGUAGUUAUCAUUACACUGUGGAUCCACCACACCCAGGUCAAGAAAGUAGAAACUGCAGAUGCCCCUGUCAAAUGGACUGUCUCUGGGACCAUGGGCCCAUUUCAUCAGACUCCAGACUCCUACACUCCCUACCACUCUACCUCCUCCUGAGUCUUAAUGUUUUGUUUCAUGGGUAUGAGUAUAGGGUUAUGAUCCAAACCUCACCACCCUCAGGUCUGGGCCUAGGAAGAUGAAGGAGAUGAACUGAGGAAGAUGAAGACAGUGAAGGUAUUAGUUACUAGGAUUACAGACCAGCAACCAAUUUUCAUCUUGACCUUUGCUCAUUGGUGCCCACUUUAAAUGUCUGGUUAUCCUGGAGAAAGGAAAGGUGUGCAUGCCCUGUGACUGGACCCCCUACUUGCCAGAAAGUUUCCAUUGCAAAAAUUGAGGUUGCACCAUAGAGACUUUCUAAAAACAUACAAAUAAAUAUAUAGAAAUAAAGACUCCUGACAAGAAAUGCAUGAUAGAAAAUGUAAUCCAAUGACUAUGAAAUAAAAACUCUGGAAAUUCCUUUUAAAAACUAUUCUGGCCUUUGGGAAACUGAAAAUGUGGGGAAUCAGACUCUAUGCCAUGGGAAGGGAUUCUGAGGGAUAGAGUUCACCAAUCCCAGCCAGAAAUCAGUCAGGAUUACUAGUUAUGCAUAGCUAUUUGGCCCCUGUGAUAACCAGACUGUCAGCCCAUUAACUGACAAAACUCACUGUGAUUGGGGGCAGCCUAAAUUAACAUUUGAUAGUUUUCAAGGGCCUGAAAUUUGUCUAAUAUCCAAAACUUUUAACCUAGGUACUUCCCCUUCAUCUGAUACCUGCUGUUCUGCCUUAUGAGUUAAUUCAUCAGGAUAACAGCAAUAUUACUGAGCUCCUGGGAUUAUUUGAUGGCCAUAUACUAAUGGUUUGAAUAAAUAUGUCUCUUCUGAUGCUUUCCAAACUAAGUAGACUGGUUGAUCAGAUCUAGAGGUAUUAAAAGUUUCAGCUUCUGAAUUAAAACAUCAUUUAGAUUCCUUUACAGAAGUGGUUCCUCAAAAUUGAACAGGCUUAGACUUACUUCUAAUGGAAUAUAAGAAAGUAUUUAUGGCUUUUGGAAAAACCUGUUGUUUCUAGGCUAAUUGAUCAGGAGCAAAAAAAAGGAAAGAAAAAAAAGAAGUUUUGCCAUGGCCAUGGUUGGAACCAAACAAAAAUUCAACAUUGGUACAAAUCUCUGUUCUCUUGGUUCCCCUGGCUAACUACUCUGCUAUCAGCACUGGCUAGGCUUUUAAUUCUCAUUCUGAUGGAAUUAUUGGUGAUGCACUGCAUCUUAAACUAUAUGGUCAAUUAUCUAUCAGUUUGGUGAAACUGAUGGUCCUUACCCAACUACACUUCUUUAGAGAAGGAUGAAUCCACGAUUUGACCCAUUCAGUAAAACCAGUGAAGAAUAUAACAGAGUCCCAGACCUUAGCACAACUGACUCCAUGAUGGAAGUACCAUUCGGGCCAUAAAACUCAACAUGUGGGCACUAACAUUUGUCAAAACAAAAACAAAGACCAAUCCAUCAAAGUCCACAGUUCUAGGAAAGUCUCUAAAUAUGCUAACCUUGCCUUUCGGCUUCUAUGGUUCUUUUCUGGCUAACUGAAGUAUGUCAACCCAGAACAUGAUUUUCAUGCUUAGAAGCUCACCCUGAGAAAUGUUCAGGGCUACACUGGGAUCCUGAACAUCCAAUGUAGUUGGUGGCCUAAUAAAGACUUUCUAUUGUCGUAAACUCAUGUCAGAGUAGUCUUCUCUGGUCAAUAUUCCACAACAGGAAGGCCUUUCUCAAUAGGACUCAAUUUGCCCAAAAAUGAACACUGAGUAGGACUUCAUAAAAGUAUUUUAGUUUCUGGGAAGAUAAACAAAUAGCCAACCAGGUGAAGAGGAAGCCCAAAUAAAACUGGAAAAUUCUCUGCCAGUUAUUCUUUGUACAGUAGAUUAGUAUCCAGAAUGUGUAUUGAACUAAAAAAACCAGCAAAAGACCCAAAUGACACAUUUGAAAAUUGGGCCUAUGAAUUUGAAGGUGAGUGGAAAGUGUAUAUGGGAGUUUUCUAAGGAGGAAAGGAAAGGACUAAAUGUUGUAAUUAUAUUUAAUCCCCCCAAAUGGGCCUGCAAUCUGAACAGAAAGAUCUCAAAUGAUUAAAAUAGCACCUAAGAAUAACUCAAAAAUGUUCAUUGUUCCCAGUAAUUGGGAAAAGCAAAACAACUUUGAGAUUUCAUGUAUCUCAGCCCAGUUAGAAUGGCAAAGAUCAACAAAACAAUGAAGAGUGGGAGGGGGUUUUUGAGUAAAGGGAAACCUCACUCACUGUUGUUGAGAUUGCAAACUGGUGGAGCCACUUUGAAAAUCAGUGUGGAUAAGGCUCAGAAAACUAAAAACAAAUUCAUCAGAUGACCAAGCUAUACCACUCUUUCACACAAAUGCCCAAGGGCUCGACAUAAUUAUUCACUGAUACUUGCUUAGCCAUGUUCAUUGCUGCCCUAUUUACAAUGGCUAAGAAAUUGAAACAACCUAUAUGUUCUACAAGUGACAAAUGUAUAGUGAAAAUGUAGUACAUGUAUACUUAAUGAUCAUUUCAAAAUAAAGUACAACUUUUGGUUUGGUAA